GACGAACGCUGGCGGCGUGCCUAAUACAUGCAAGUUGAGCGCUGAAGGUUGGUACUUGUACCGACUGGAUGAGCAGCGAACGGGUGAGUAACGCGUGGGGAAUCUGCCUUUGAGCGGGGGACAACAUUUGGAAACGAAUGCUAAUACCGCAUAAAAACUUUAAACACAAGUUUUAAGUUUGAAAGAUGCAAUUGCAUCACUCAAAGAUGAUCCCGCGUUGUAUUAGCUAGUUGGUGAGGUAAAGGCUCACCAAGGCGAUGAUACAUAGCCGACCGGAGAGGGUGAUCGGCCACAAUGGGACUGAGACACGGCCCAAACUCCUACGGGAGGCAGCAGUAGGGAAUCUUCGGCAAUGGACGAAAGUCUGACCGAGCAACGCCGCGUGAGUGAAGAAGGUUUUCGGAUCGUAAAACUCUGUUGGUAGAGAAGAACGUUGGUGAGAGUGGAAAGCUCAUCAAGUGACGGUAACUACCCAGAAAGGGACGGCUAACUACGUGCCAGCAGCCGCAGUAA
rnacentral:rRNA from 1 species